GACGCUGCGAUUUAUCCAUCAAUAGUUCAGGAGUUUGUAAAUGUCAGAUCGUCAGAGCGGUACCGUGAAGUGGUUCAACGAUGCCAAGGGCUUCGGUUUCAUCACCCCGGAAAGCGGCCCGGACCUGUUCGUGCACUUCCGUGCCAUCCAGGGCACCGGCUUCAAGUCGCUGCAGGAAGGCCAGAAGGUGACCUUCGUCGCCGUGCAGGGCCAGAAGGGCAUGCAGGCUGACCAGGUGCAGGCGGUCUAAUCCGUCUGCAACCGUAAGGUUGCCAAAAACGCCGGUCGCGCAAGCGACUGGCGUUUUU
rnacentral:misc_RNA from 2 species